rnacentral:rRNA from 1 species
AUUGAACGCUGGCGGCAUGCUUUACACAUGCAAGUCGAACGGCAGCGCGGGCUUCGGCCUGGCGGCGAGUGGCGAACGGGUGAGUAAUACAUCGGAACGUGCCCAGUAGUGGGGGAUAGCUCGGCGAAAGCCGGAUUAAUACCGCAUACGACCUGAGGGUGAAAGCGGGGGAUCUUCGGACCUCGCGCUAUUGGAGCGGCCGAUGGCAGAUUAGCUAGUUGGUGGGGUAAAGGCCUACCAAGGCGACGAUCUGUAGCUGGUCUGAGAGGACGACCAGCCACACUGGGACUGAGUCACGGCCCAGACUCCUACGGGAGGCAGCAGUGGGGAAUUUUGGACAAUGGGCGAAAGCCUGAUCCAGCAAUGCCGCGUGUGUGAUGAAGGCCUUCGGGUUGUAAAGCACUUUUGGCGGGAACGAAAAGGACUGUGCCAAUACCACGGUUCGAUGACGGUACCCGCAGAAUAAGCACCGGCUAACUACGUG